UGGAGGCGGGAGAAGUACUAGACGAAAAGGUUUUCGAGCUAAAACUAGCUAGCUAGCUAAUUAUUAUUUCCAUUGACUAUGGUUACAAACAACAUUCAUAAUCCCGAAAAUUAGGAAAGCAACUGUAAAUCAAGGGAAACCCCGAACACUUGCAGAAAAUGUCUCCUCUGACUAAAGUGAUGGGCCUUGCACUCCAGCAGAUUUCCCUACCAUAUUUCACAUCUUUUCCCCAGGAGACUCCAAUCAAACCCUCUCAAUGAAACCCUCUCAAGAGGCACUGCCUCUUCAGUCACCUGAGCAAUGCAACAAAGAGAGAUUUGUUUCAAAUACGCACUCUCCUUGUCCAGCAGGACCAAUACAUUCGUCAGGACUUUAUCCACCUUGCAUUGAUUCCCCAUUGACUCUUUCAACACAGAAUACAGUAGGUUCCUUGAACUACUUUGUUAAACCUCCCGGGCUUCUUCCAAACAGCCCAGCUAACACUGGGACAAAAGCACAGCCUUCAAUGUGGCAAGCCCACAGUCCACCACAGCACACUGUACCGUCAGGGUCAGGACUUUUCUCCUCACCUCAGAUGAUUCCAGCCCGGCAAAUCAACAAUACCUCAAAGGAUGGACUCUCACCUGCCAGUGUAUUUCAUCCUUCAUCAUCUCAAUUUGUCAAGAGUUUAAACCACCACUCUUCCUCUUGCAAUGUUAAGAGGGAUCAAGAGGUUGAAUCCAUGGUCAACCCUUCUAGCUCAGGAAGCAACAAUGAAACAUCACAAAGAAAAGAGUCAAAUAAGAUUCAGCAACAUGAACUCACACCUUCAAGUGAAAUCACAAUUUCAGCUGGAGAUUUAAAUUGCCCAUCUCUGAAGAGGCAUAGAGAGAUUGAUAACUGUUAUGAGAAUGCCAAGAAGCUGUGUCCUGAUGGUGCAAACUCUGGGAAAAGAAAGCCGGCUAUUUCCAUUCCUGGCAGCUCACCAGGCACAUCACAAGUCUCUCAGCCAUCAUUGAAGAACUUUUCAGCGUUUGAACUGAAAAUAGAUGCCAUAAGAAAAAAUGUUCUGCAUGUGGAACUGGCAUGUGGACAGUCGACAUACUCCACUUUAAAACCAACCCGGACACAUUGUACAUCACAAAAGCCAAAUGAAGAAGGAACAAAAAGAAAAAGUGAGGAAAACCAGAGCAAAAAUGAAUCAAGUAAGGUGGAACUUACUCAGAAGGUCGGUAGUACCUCACUUCCCGUUGAUCCAGUCAGACCAUCUUCUGGUCACCCUCUCUGUAGUGCCCAGGUCUUACAAGUUAAAGUCUUAAAUAGAGUUGAUCAAGUGAGGGAGAGCAGAAAAACAGACUGUAACACUCCCAAAACAUCAUCAAAACCAAAUUCCAGUACCCUGAGUUGUCACGCACUAGAGCGCAAUAAAGGUAAUCGUGGACGGCGACCUGUUAUCCCUGAUGAUAUAGAUCAGCUUUUCACCCCUGAUCCCAGAACAUAUGUUGUCAGCCCUACAUCUAAGGCUGUAAAGCCCAAGAUAGAUGGAGAAACAGGCAAAUCGCCCAUCUCUGAGAAAGCUUCCAGCCCUGCAUCUGGUAACAGUCCAUCUGUUACUGGAUCCGCUUGUCACAAAACUCCACACUCCAGAGAUGCAGAAUCGCCAAAUACAAGGCCUGCCUCAAAACAUAAGUCGCCAGUCGGAUUGCCACCUGUCACUACAGAGCGGGUUAAGCUGGGGAAAGUAAAUGUCAUUAAAGACAAAGGUGUCGCAAACAGUCCCAUUUCUUCUGAAAGUAAGCCUAAGGAUGUGGAAGAGAAAUCUGAAAACAACUCCAUUCCCCUGGACUCCAGCAAUUUGAGUUCAUCCUCUUUGAACUCUGACACUACAAUCUCUGCGCAAACUUCUUCAUCACAGUGUACUGCAUCUCAAUCACUGGAGGAGCAGGCCCAUGAAAGAGGUAAAACGGAGGUGAAUGGAGAAGAUCCCAUAGAUAUGGAUCUGGACCUGGGCCUCAGUUUUCAGUAUAGUUUGGAUCUAAACCAGAGCUCUGACAGCAGCGAGGAUGACGAGCUCAUCUCCUUCCAGGAGAUUAUGGCAUGUGUUGCCAAGCCUCCAGAGACACCAGAGAAGGGAGCCCUUUCAGACCCAAGUACACCUGAACAGAAAAGUAGUCAACCUUCAACGGUACUGCCAUCUACCAUAAAAUCAGGUGUGUACAAAAGCAAUCUGGACCAGAUGCUUGAAGAAAUUAAGACCAACAAAAGAGCAAAAGAGGUGGAAACACAACUUCUGAGUGUGUGUCAAGAAAGCCGGUUACAGAUUGCCGAAGAUGAGAAGGCGGAGGAAAACCAAGGGGAGGACAUCCCCACGGAACAGCAAGAGUUUCUGCUGCGCUAUGCAGUCAUGUCAAAUGCUAUCAGGGAAGUUCCUCCAGGAGAAGUGGUGUUUAACUUGGAAAGGUUUGGCAUCCUCUUUGACGAGAAUAAUCUGCAGCUUAGGCGGUUUAGGGUCCCUCCACAGGGAACAGCACAGAAGACACUUCUAUGGUCCAGCCCUGCUCAGCUAAGGCUGCAUGUGAUUAUUGGGUUGUUCCAAGACGUUUAUGACAGCUCACCCUGUCCACCUCAGGUUACCCGUUUCCUGUUCAUGAUGCUGUCAGUCCAUAGUGAGAGGAUUGUGUCAGAAAAGAUACUCCAAGCCCUGAAGGACAUUGCCUGUUCUGCUGCUUAUCAGAUAGGCGAAAAGGGAAACCACAAGUUUCAAGUGUGGGUUCCUAGUUUGGCUGAUGUGACGCAGGUCCUGAUGAAUUUGGGAGCUGGAUUUGUUACAUUCUUCCCUUUUGAGAAUCUACAACCAUUAUUCACAGAAGAAAAUUUGAUGGAUGAUGUCUAUAUCAAAAGUGAGACUCCCACCUCUAGGAAACUGACCAGUUUCCCUGAACACAACUGCAGGAACAUGUUGAAGUACCUGUCUUUCUGCAUGGGCCUGUGUCCUCGUGCCUUUAGUGACGACGAACUGCUGUUGCUUCUUACAAUGAUUGGGAAGAUAAGCCUGGACACACAGCGCAUCCUCCAGUCCACCGUGGAAGUGACGUGUCUUCAGUAUAAAAUUCUCAACAACAUCAGGGAUUGGGAUGCAAUGCUGAGCAGAAUGUGUCGAGCUCUGACCGACUUGACAGAUGAUCACCACAACAUGUGCCUGCUUGUUCAACUCCUACCUGACAAUACACGUGGAAAACAGCUACAUCGACAUUUGAGCCUGUCCAUGAUCUCUAAGCUGUUGGAUGGAAGCUCCACUUACAGACCUACACAGGCGGAGUGUCAGCUUGCUGAACUGAGGCCAUACCUUCCACGGAUGAAACCCUCCGCUCUUCGUCGAGGCCUGUAUCAGAAAAAUAAAGAGGAGGACUCGGCAAUUCUAGACCAACAGGCCUACUACUUGUGUCACAGCCUUCUGACACUUAUGAAUGGAGCAUCUAAUUUUCAAUUCUUCCCAGCUUAUCAGAAGGCACAACUGCUGGAGUUGUCAUACGCGUUGGAAACGCAUGUUAAAUGUGACAUCAGAGAGAAUGACAAAUGCCUUUACCGCAGCAAGGUGAAGGACCUGGUGGCCAGGAUCUACACAAAGUGGCAAAUGCUCCUUCAGAGGACCAGACCUCUUAAUGGUAGGCUGUAUGACUUUUGGCAGCCUUCGGCUGCUUAUAGAAGCAUCCAAGGGGUUGGAGAGGACACCGGAAUUGAAGUGGCGGAUGAAGAAGAGGAGCAAACCACUGACUGAAGAGAUUAAUAAAAUUGGUUGCUGAAGGACAGUCUUGGGGUAGUUACUCAAAAAAGGUAGGCUCUAUGACUAUUGGCAGCCUUUGGCUGCUUAUAGAAGCAUCCAAGAGGUUGGAGAGGACACCGGAAUUGUAAGUGGCGAAUGAAGAAGAGGAGCAAACCACUGAAUGAAGAGAAUAAUAAAAUUGGUUGCUGAAGGAGAAGAGGAGAAACGGGGGGAGAAAAUGGAGCCAGAAGAGGACAUGGAACUUGAUCAAAGACCAGAAGAAAAUGGCGAAGAAGGUGCUAAGGAUGACACAAACAAAACAAGAGGCCACACGGGCAAUAGCUGGUGACUUUACACAAGGGAUGCCUGAAAUACAGCCUCAAGAAGUGGAUGAGCAACCAAACAAUAGUCUGAGAGAGCAGUCUGGUGCAGAGAAUGAAACUUAGUAAAUCAAGAAAAACAUCUCCUUUGGCAACAUCAAGGGAUUUAAUGUAACAGGAAUGCACUUGUUUUGGGACCUUGAUGGCCUUUGCCUAAGUCUUAAAAUUAAAUUUGCACUAUAAAUUAAGUGUCGUAGUUUUGUUAAUACCUAACUUUUAGGUUUUGUUGUCUAUAGUGGAUUGUAUAAUACAAUUGUAUAUAGACAUUUCUUUUUUGAAGAGAUUGUAAAGAUUAAUCGGGGCUGAAGCCUUGUAUAUUUGUUUUUUGCUUCAUAUAUUUCCCCCCCCCUAUGAAUAUUUAACUUAACGAGAACUAAAUGAUAUCUUGUUGGUUGCACCACUGUUUUCAUUUCACUUAGGUGGUAUUCAAUGUUGGUGUUUGUUGGUUCAAUGUGUUGGUUCAAUGUUUUAAUUAUGCCCGUGCAUGUUUGCAUUGUGGCAAGUUCCCUUUUGGGGAAUUUUUUUUUUUUAAUGAAAGUAUUUUUUCAAGGCUUGUGCCAAAUGUUGAUAAUAAACUUUGUUUAUACCAUA